rnacentral:rRNA from 1 species
AGCGUAGGCGGUUGGAUAAGUUAGGAGUGAAAGCCCGGGGCUCAACCCCGGGACUGCUUCUAAAACUGUUCAACUUGAGUGUGGGAGAGGAAAGUGGAAUUCCUAGUGUAGCGGUGGAAUGCGUAGAUAUUAGGAGGAACACCAGUGGCGAAGGCGACUUUCUGGACCAUAACUGACGCUGAGGCUCGAAAGCGUGGGGAGCAAACAGGAUUAGAUACCCUGGUAGUCCACGCUGUAAACUAUGGAUACUAGAUGCAGGGGGUAUCGACUCCUUCUGUGUCGUCGCAAACGCAAUAAGUAUCCCGCCUGAGGAGUACGGCCGCAAGGUUGAA